rnacentral:rRNA from 1 species
CCUCGGGAAGGCAGCAGUGGGGAAUCUUAGACAAUGGGGGCAACCCUGAUCUAGCCAUGCCGCGUGAGUGAUGAAGGCCUUAGGGUCGUAAAGCUCUUUCGCCUGUGAUGAUAAUGACAGUAGCAGGUAAAGAAACCCCGGCUAACUCCGUGCCAGCAGCCGCGGUAAUACGGAGGGGGUUAGCGUUGUUCGGAAUUACUGGGCGUAAAGCGCGCGUAGGCGGAUUAGAAAGUUGGGGGUGAAAUCCCGGGGCUCAACCCCAGAACUGCCUCCAAAACUGCUAGUCUAGAGUUCGAGAGAGGUGAGUGGAAUUCCGAGUGUAGAGGUGAAAUUCGUAGAUAUUCGGAGGAACACCAGUGGCGAAGGCGGCUCACUGGCUCGAUACUGACGCUGAGGUGCGAAAGUGUGGGGAGCAAACAGGAUUAGAUACCCUGGUAGUCCACACCGUAAACGAUGAAUGCCAGUCGUCGGAUAGUAUACUAUUCGGUGACACACCUAACGGAUUAAGCAUUCCGCCUGGGGAGUACGGUCGCAAGAUUAAAACUCAAAGGAAUUGACGG